UAUGUACUCCCUCCGUUCAGAAUUACUUGUCUUGGAAAUGGAUGUAUCUAGAACUAAAAUACAUUUAGAUACAUCCAUUUCUGCGACAAGUAAUUCCGAACGGAGGGAGUACAUC
rnacentral:pre_miRNA from 1 species